AAUAUUGGACAAUGGGGGCAACCCUGAUCUAGCCAUGCCUCGUGUGUGAAGAAGGNCUNNGGAUUNUNAAGCACUUUAAGUUGNNNNNAAGGUCUAUAGGUCAAUACCCUGAAGAUUUCACGUUACCAACAGACUAAGCACCGGCUAACUCUGUGCCAUCAGCCGCGGUAAUACAGAGGGUGCAAGCGUUAAUCGGAAUUACUGGGCGUAAAGCGCGCGUAGGUGGUUCAGUAAGAUGGGUGUGAAAUCCCCGGGCUUAACCUGGGAACUGCUUUCAUAACUGCUGAGCUAGAGUACGGUAGAGGGUAGUGGAAUUUCCUGUGUAGCGGUGAAAUGCGUAGAUAUAGGAAGGAACACCAGUGGCGAAGGCGACUACCUGGACUGAUACUGACACUGAGGUGCGAAAGCGUGGGGAGCAAACA
rnacentral:rRNA from 1 species